rnacentral:lncRNA from 1 species
GUAGGAGAUGAUCGAUUUUCUUCUCGAGUUUCUGUCGACUUUUCAAGAAUUACAUUACUAGCUGGCCAAGCUAUAGCUGAAUUAACUGCAUCUUUAACGCGUACCAAAUCCACUGUAGGACGCCAGAGAAAUGCUUCAGGAAUUAUUGCAACAUCUACACAAACUAUCAUGGCAUUGGGUCCGAGAUGAAUAUUAUUGACCAAAGCAUUUGGGUCACUCGAUUGCAAGAAACCUUCAGCAACUAUUUCAUUUUUUCCACUCCAAUCGAAUAAUAUACAUCUAGUUCUUGAAGUAUUCUACCAA